CUGGAACGCGCCCCAGGCGCACCCAGAAACCCUUUGUGAACUUAUACCUUACUGUUGCCUCGGCGCAUGCCGGCCCCCAGGGGCCCCUCGGAGACGAGGAGCAGGCACGCCGGCGGCCAACCUAACUCUUUUUUUUACACUGAAACUCUGAAAAAAAAAAAAAAAAAAAAAAAAAAAAACAAAAUGAAUCA
rnacentral:misc_RNA from 1 species